CAGCCGCCGCGGUAAUACGUAGGGCGCAAGCGUUGUCCGGAAUUAUUGGGCGUAAAGAGCUCGUAGGCGGUCUGUCGCGUCUGGUGUGAAAUCCCGAGGCUCAACCUCGGGCUUGCAUCGGGUACGGGCAGACUAGAGUGCGGUAGGGGAGACUGGAAUUCCUGGUGUAGCGGUGGAAUGCGCAGAUAUCAGGAGGAACACCGAUGGCGAAGGCAGGUCUCUGGGCCGCAACUGACGCUGAGGAGCGAAAGCAUGGGGAGCGAACAGGAUUAGAUACCCCCGUAGUCCCUGUCUCUUAUCC
rnacentral:rRNA from 1 species